CAGGAACUAGAAUGGAGAAGGUCCUAGAAGGAGUGAGAAGUCUUAAGUUCGGGAGAGAAGCUCUGCUGAGGGGCCCAGUGUGGAAAAAACCAACCCUAGGUCACACUAAUGGAACACACAGCCGUCAUGCAAAGAACCUGGCCUUUGGAGCCAAAUGGACCUGGAUUCCAGUCCUGAUUCUGCCCUUAACAGAGUGCUGCAGUCCAGUGGAUCAUCUUGCAAACUCUCUGGAAUAUUUGGAGACCUUUGCUCUACCUAUAGUUCUAAACAGGACACCAAAAGUGGCAUUCUCAUGUUUUUAUUUGUUAUGAG